UCAAUAUUUUCUCUCAGAUUGACAAACACUAAACAGCAGUCAAGGAGGCACUAGCGGUAGCCACGAAGCAGCUGAUUCUGUUUUAACCCAAACAAAACAAACGGAUAACCCAGGAAUAAUUCUUGAACUGUGUAAAAUGGUGUAUGGUCUCACUUAUGAUAUUUACUGAACGUAAGAAUAAACAAGUUCUACUCGAGGAUUGUAGGAUGAAUGAAAGAGAUCAUGUUUGUUUCUAGUUCUUCGUAAUGUCUGUAUAUUGGAGUAAAACCGCUCCAGUAAAGCACAGUUGGAGCGGAGAAGGAAGGAGAUCAUCUGAGAUACAGUGUUUAGAACGGAUACCUCUCAUGAAACAGAUGGAGCACAGGGUACCUCUUAUCAACAGCUUGGAGCUACAGCUCAGAUUUCUAAGUCCACAAGACAUUGAUCAAGUAAAGAUAUUAUGCCGGAGCUGGUUUCCAAUAGACUACCCAGAUACCUGGUAUCAGGAGAUUACAUCCAACCCUAGGUUCUACUCCCUUGCUGCUACCCUACAGGGACGAAUGAUAGGAUUAGUAGUUGCUGAGACCAAAGAGCUGGGACACCUGGCCAAGGAGGACAGGAGUAUCCUGGCAACCUGCUUCAAGAAGGGAACUAAAGUGGGAUACAUCCUUUCUCUUGGUGUAUGCGAGGAUUUCCGAAAGCAAGGAAUAGCAAGCCUUCUCCUAGAGAACCUUAUCUCUCAUCUCACCUCAGAUACAGCAUAUAACAGUGUUAAAGCUCUUUAUCUUCAUGUACUCACAACCAACUCACAGGCGAUAGCUUUCUACGAGCAUAGGGGAUUUGUGGUACAUUCCUUCCUACCGUACUACUACGCGAUCAAGGGGAAGCGUAAGGAUGGAUUCACGUAUGUCCUUUAUCUCAACGGAGGACAUCCAACCUGGGGGGCCCUCGACUACGUUAAAAGCUGCGCGCUACUUCUCUGUCAGCUGUCGCCUAUCAGAGCUCUCACAUUUUUAGGGCGGAAGCUUAGACUGCUCUGGACUGGAACUGUUCCGAAAUUAAGGCGGGUGGCGGAGAGCAGCUCUGCCUUGUUUUCUUGACCGCCCCGGGGAGAGAACCGGUUUUAGUCAAUCAGCUGUCAGAUAUUCUUUAUUACAACGUUAAACCUCGUUUACUACUCAACUAUAACCUGCAUCUUUACUCUAAACUUUACAGGACUCGACUUUGUAUAUAUAGAACCCAGAAUUAAAUUUACAGAAUGAACGUAAAGCAAUGUAAAGUAACUUGUUAAUUAUUAUGUGUUCUAUUUCAAUAAAAUGUAUUUGUUUGUUA
rnacentral:misc_RNA from 1 species